UCCUCGCUCGAAGCGGUUUUUUCCUCUCUAGGAAUCUGCGAAACCAUCAGCCCUUACGCCAAAGAGGUGCCUUUCCACUUUCUACUUCCACUCUUUUCUUCCCCGUUGGGGCGUUGGCGGUUAGCUAAGCCUCUCUGGCCGCGCAUUGGAUUCGACGCCGGAGAAUGGUUGGCGCUCAACUCUGCUGCCGUGCAGUUUGCGGCUUUGCUGGUUUCACAGACCAAUUGAAUGCGGGCCGUCAAAUUCGGAGUUCGCUCUGUCACUACUCCUCUUCCUCGCUGCUUCGGUUCUCGUUUCGAUUAGGUUUGUCGCACCGGCAUUGUGGCAGAUCAAAAUCGGUUCUCAUAUGCUGCAAGUCCUCUCGGAGCUUUGGUCCCGAAUCGGACGACAACGGUGGGCCUGAUCACGACUAUGUUGAAGCGUUCGUCCUUCUUUCAGAAACUAUCAGGCACUACCGAAUGCGCAUGCAAGGAUUUCAAGAAGAAGCCAAAUGGCAAUCCUCUGCGCAGUCUUUCCCUAGAAAUGAGGUCAGUUCCAUAGGACCGGCAUUUCUACGUCAUUUUCAGAGUCCCACCAUUUUUUUGAAAAUAUCUUGUGACGGAGACUUCUUGCUACCGAUAAUUGUAGGGGAAUUUGCUAUUGAAAAGCUUAUAGAUUCCUCAAAUGAGGAUGACAGCUGGGAUUGCCCAAAUCAGUUCCAGCUUGUGAGAAACCUUGUGGAACAUCUUGGCUAUAGGAUGGAAUCUCAAAUAGACAAGAACAAAGGAGAAGUGUAUCAGAAGGAGAAGUCAAAAGAAGAAGACGGUACAUCUAUCUCCAAAAUUAAAGAGAAAUUUCUUGUCCAAAAAAAGAAAAAGACCCAAAAUGGUAGGCUAAAAAGUGAUGUAUGGAAGCAUUUUACUAGACAAGUGAUGAAACAAAAUCUUCUUGUAAUUAUUGCAAGAAAGUUUAUGCUGCUAAACAAAAAGAAAAGGGUAAGUUCCAUCUUGAACCAUCUAAAAGAGUAAUGUUGGAAGUUCCCUUUAAGGGUUCAACUAAAAAAUCAGAAAGUCUUGUGUUUUGAGCCUAAGAAAGGGAGAUGUAGAUGGUAUACUUAAGCUAUGAGUUUAAUCAAGAAUAAUUAAGAAAGGCGUUAGUUAUGUUUAUAAUUGUUGAAGUUACCUUUCAAGUUCGUAGAGAGGUGUGUUUAGGAUGUAUUCACAAGCUUUGGGACAAGAGUUGUAAUUCCAUGCCGAUUCACUGUUCCUAGAGAUUGUUUGAAAUUAUUUAAUGAAGAGAAAAAGAAAUUGAAGAAAAUCCUAAGAUCUCACUGAGUUUGUCUUACCACUAAUACUUGGACACUGUUGAAAUCUUGGUUCUAAAGCUUGAGAAUACAUUUUAAAAAUUCACCCCUGUACAAACAAGAAAGCUAAUCAAUGAUUAUUAACUUAAGCAACACUGUUUCUAAUUCUUCUUGAUUAAAAUUUGUAGCUUAAGUGUACCACCUCAUCUCCUUUUUUAGGUUCAAAGGACAAGAACCUUAAAGGGAAUUUCCAUCAUUGCUCUUUUAGAUGGUUUCACGUUGCACUUGUCCCUUUCUUUUUUGAACUAGCAACAUAAACUUUAUUGUAGUAACUACAACAAGCUUUUUUCAUCACUUGUCUGAGUAAAAUGCUUCCAUACAUCACUUUUUAGCCUACUACUUUGCAUCCCCUUUUUUUUUUUUUUUGAAAAAAAGGCAUUUCUCACCUGUUUUUGGGAUAGAUGUAUCUUAUUCUUCUUGUCACAUUUCCUUGUGAUAGGCAUCUUCUUUGUUGCUGUCUACUUGAGAUUCCAUUUGCGAAAUAAAAGGCAAAAAUUUUAACUAUAACCUAUAGCCUAGAGGGGAUUUAUCUCUUAACAGAACUAAAUUUGGACUUCAAAUGUAUUUUAAAAAUUCUUGUUAAUUCUACUCUUUAAAAUUGGUCCUGCUGUACUUUUAGUAGGAUCGAAUCUCAGAUUCGGUUUCAAUUGGACUCCUUGAUUUGGAGCCGAAAAAAGAAGGGAAUAGCAAAACUCGUAUUACUUUAUUUGUAUGUAAACAGGGUGAUAGGCAGGUGGUUUUAAUAUUGCUGGCCCAUCAUAAAUUGUUUUUUGUACAAAAGCUCAAUAUUUGGAGACAAUGUUUUGACAUAUUGAUGGAUUGUUGAACAGAAAAAGUUGUUCUGCAAUUGAAGUCUGAUCUUUGUUGAUGAUGCCAGCUAUCCAAUCUUCACAUAUUUCCAAGGGGUAGAAGUGCAUGGUUACCAUGGUGAGGAUUACAGAAAGAGUGGUGAACACUUACUUUGCCAGGAUAUUUUUU